rnacentral:rRNA from 1 species
GAGUUUGAUCAUGGCUCAGAUUGAACGCUGGCGGCAGGCUUAACACAUGCAAGUCGAGCGGGGACUUCGGUCCUAGCGGCGAACGGGUGAGGAAUGCUUGGGAAUCUGCCUAGUAGUGGGGGAUAACGUUUCGAAAGGAACGCUAAUACCGCAUACGCCCUACGGGGGAAAGGGGGGGAUCUUCGGACCUCUCGCUAUUAGAUGAGCCCAAGUCGGAUUAGCUAGUUGGUGAGGUAAAGGCUCACCAAGGCGACGAUCCGUAGCUGGUCUGAGAGGAUGAUCAGCCACACUGGAACUGAGACACGGUCCAGACUCCUACGGGAGGCAGCAGUGGGGAAUAUUGGACAAUGGGCGAAAGCCUGAUCCAGCCAUGCCGCGUGUGUGAAGAAGGCCUUCGGGUUGUAAAGCACUUUAAGCGAGGAGGAAUGGCUCUGGGUUAAUACCCUUGAGCAGUGACGUUACUCGCAGAAUAAGCACCGGCUAACUCUGUGCCAGCAGCCGCGGUAAUACAGAGGGUGCAAGCGUUAAUCGGAAUUACUGGGCGUAAAGCGCGCGUAGGCGGUUACGUAAGUUGGAUGUGAAAUCCCCGGGCUCAACCU